AGAGAUUUAUUGACCAAAUGAUCAUCGAGAGAGAAAUAGUAUGCACAGACAGACAGACAGGCAGGCAGGUAGAAUGUAUAAAUAUGUUUCUUUCUUUGUUUGUUUCGUUCUUUCUUUCCUCCUUCAAUUUCACGGACAUCACAGCAGACAAAAAAGAGAGACAUGCAGAACCAAGAGAACAGAA
rnacentral:ribozyme from 1 species